CCAAAUGUGUCCAACUCAUCUGCCUCUCGAAUGCUGGGUCCGGCCAGGAAGAGCUUGUAGCUCUUUCCUGAGCACAGGAUUCCCAGGUCUGAUCCUUACCUCGAAAGCUUCUGGUCUAUCUGGGCAGCACUGUCAGGCUGGCUCUUCCAUCUACAUCUCUCUCCUACCCUAUCACCUACUUCUCCUGGGGGCAGCUACAGCCCCGUCUUAAAACACAUUCUGUUUUCCAGGUUUCCUAAAGCCGUGGGUUCCAUGUGGCACAUCUGGUCAAUGACCCAUAACCAAGAAGGUCCUCAGUUUUGUGAUGAUGGGCUGAGCUGAGGAAAAGCUGCUGCCCAGAGAAGUUAAGAGACCCGACUCAGCCCUCACAGCUUGGGAAUGUCAGAGAUGGGAUUUGAACCCAGAACUCAGUGACUACAGAGCCUGACUUGUACCAUGUGACCCAUGGAUGCAGACUUUGCAUUAGUGAUACCACCCACAGGGAUCUCCCAACAGUUUCCCUUCCAAGCUAAGUGUCCACACUCCUGGGCUGCACACCUCUUGGGCCACCCUCAGAAAGGAUAGUCAGACUGGCUGGGUGGCUGCUCGGUGGCAGCAUUGGAUGAGCGGGAAGGGAGAGGAAGGGGGGGUCUCUCUCGGGCUCUGGCAGGCAGGCGUGCACAGCCACUGUCUCCAGGCAGCGAUAGGAUGAAUAACUGACGGUGAUUAGCUAAAUCAUAACAUCGCUCAUGCCAUGCAUAAGUGAUGAGCCAACUGGUGCCAGGCCGCGUCGAGCAGCAGCAGGCACCCCCACCUCAACCCCCCCCACCACCCAGAGAAGCCACCACAGCGGUACCGCCUCCCUGUGUUAUCUGGCACAUCAAGUGCUGCGACAAUGAAUAUAGAUUGACCUUAUUAUAGCAGCCGGCUGCUGGUGCCAGGCGCAGCCAGGCAUACUUUGCACAAAUUAAAGGUGUCAGCAUGUAAUUUACGGUUCAUGGCGAUGACGAGGGGUAGGGGGUGAGGGAGGCACCAAGGCAGGUAGAGAGGAAGGUGGCCUGGUGGCGGGGCUGCACCGGGAGCCUCGCACUAAUGACAGGAGGGGCAGCCGAAGUGUCAUUUCCAUCCGGGUUUGCUAGCUUUAGCUAUUCAUUGCUCGAGGGGGGCAGCCCCCUCUCCCCGGCUCCCCCUACACGUGCUGUGUGCAUGUGUGUGUAUUUUUCAGCUAAAUUACUGGUUUUACCUGAAGAGCAUCAAGUAGGUGUGCUAAUUUACGGCUCGGCAGAUGAAGCCACAGUGUGGGAAGCUAGCUGUCUGGGAAGCCUGUAAUACGACAUCAUUUUACUAACACCCCCCAGAGCAGCUUGACAUCUCGAGUUGGGCCUGUGAUUAAAGUUGUAGUCUUCUUUCCUGCCUGCUCCCUUCUCCAGCAUGGAGAACAGAUUAAACUCGAAGUAAUAGAUCUCGGUUUUCUUGCCAUCCCACUGAUAUACACAGUACACAGUUUGACACCGAGAGUAAGUUAUACAUCACAAACAACAGCCUCUGCCCUUCACUGCCCGGAAUUAAUUUCCCAUUUGCUAAGCUUUCCUCUUCUCCAAGCCCAUUUUCCUAGCUAGCAGGGCUCCCCGCCCCGCCCCCAGCUUCUGCUUCAGAAGGCAGAGGAGGAAAAUCACAGGUGAGGACCAGAAAGGGUGGCUCAGGACAGCUCCUGGAUCCCUGCAGUUAACUAAGCAGUGGCUUCCUGAUGUCACCCCUCAAGCCCAGCCUUCUGAGUGACAGGUCUGUCCCACCAGACACUGCAGAGGGGGGAGGGGGAGGGGCAGGGUGCUGGCCUAUCCACAGGCCCCCUGCAGGCUGCUGUCUCUGCCCUGCCUGUGCCCCCCUGGAGGGGACCUAGAGGGGCUGCUGAUCCUUUCCGCUGCCACCUGGGCUUGGCCAUGGGGGAAGAUGCUGAGUACUUCCUCCCACUUCUCCUUAUGCGAUGCCACCGUGUCUCUAGCUACCUCCCUGGUGGCUGCCACUUUUACGGGGUGACCCCCCCCACGACUCCAGCUCCCUGUCCCCUUCAGUUUGAGGUGGUGACAGCUGCCCACUGCCUGUGGUCUCUGGGGGUUCCGCUGUCCCUUUUGGGUCCCCUUAACCCUGCCAGUCUUUGUAAAAGGCCCCUGAAUCCUCAUCUCUUGGGUUGAACCAUACAGGGGAAUCUGUUUUCUCCAGGGACCCUGAGAGAUGCCCAGGGAACCCAGUCUCCACUGAGGACCCAAGCUGGCUCAGUCCUCUUGCAGGAGGCAGGGCUGGAAGUGAGGAAGGCUGUUGCUGGCUGUUGGUGGUCUGAAUGCUGUUGCUGCAGCCCAGCCUGGCCUCCCUCAGUGUGCCGGCUUUCGCUGAAUGGCACCUGCUCUGAGCUCCUUCCUGGCAUGAAGGACAAACUCUUGGAAGCCACGGUGGCAGCUGACUGAUGCUGUCCUCACCAUCGCCAUGCAGCCCAGAUGGCACUUCCUGCUGGCAACACCUCUCAGGGGCCCUCUCGUCCCCACUCACUCUGCCAGUCUCCAUCCCACACAGUCAAGUGUGCACAGCACAGAGUUUGCCAAGAACACAUCCUGGUGUCUGCCAAGGAGGACAUUCUAGAGAACACACAGACACCCAAGGGACAGACUGGCCCCAAGGUGGGCCCGAGGAUGCUCUAUGUCCAUGGGUGUUGAGUGCAGGAGCAGAAAGAGGGGAUGCCAGCCCUGUAUGAGGAGGCUCAGCUUGGAAGGAAGUCUAGAAUAGAUUAUUAUUAUCAAUAUUAUUAUUUUGUCUUUGUACUGAGCUAUAUCUUCUGUCCUUUUUUAUUUUAAAUUGCCUAAAUUGCCCAGGCUUGGCUUGAACUUGCAAUCCUCCUGCCUUGGCCUCCCAGAAUGCUAGAACCACAGGUGUGUGCUGCCACAUCCAGUGUGAACCAGAUGCUUUUCAAGUUCCUUCCCAUCCUGAAAGUCCCCAGCACAAUGUCUAGCACAAUACACAUAUAUUUUUGAAAUUGUAUGAGUAAAUAAAUUCCAGUUGCUAAGAAAAUACAAUGGACCCUCAAGUUGCAAUUGGGCUGACAUAUGAACAACUUGGGUUAAUUAGGUUAAUGGAAGAUUUAUCUGCCUCUUGUUACCCACAGUGUGUACCCAGGUAAACAUCCAGAUCUCAGCCAAAGUGAUUUAUAACCAACUUGAAUUACAACCAGCCCUUGGGAACUGAUUGAGUUUGUAAGCCAAGGGUCCACUGUAAAGAACUUAUGAAACUGAGUACCUUGACUUAGUAAGAAUUGUCAUGCUGAAAUGAUCCUCUCUGAAAGGUACAGAGUCUCAUGAGAUCAAUGCUCUAGCCUCGAUGAGGCAGGCAAACUGUGACGAGUGGUCACAAAGGCAUGGGGAGCAUAUCGGUAAUUUACACAUCAACCAUCAAGAGGGCUGAGCUCAGGGAGGAGUCGGGUCGGAGACAGACUGAAGUCAUCUUGCCAGCAGCCCCAUCAUCAGGACACCCUGUGCUUUAUCAUGCCCUAAGUGCUGUUCUGACAUCCUGAGCACUCAGGGACGAUUAUCCACAGGCUCUAUAACAUAUCAUAGAUCAUCUUGGAUCUUUGGAUUUGUGGUAGCCUCCAGGGAGAAGAAUGGCUACUCCCAUUUUAUAGACGCCUGGGGAGGGGGGUUCAGAGAUUUUCCCCAAGAUCACACAGAGAGUAAGGGAGACCCAAGACCUGAGCCCUGAUCUUUUGACUCAGACUGACAGAUUUUAAGAAGAAAGAGCACCCCUGCUCUUGUUGGAGGUGGGACUGCCACCACUCACAGGCUGCCAGGCUCUUGAGGAAUUUCCCCUCUUGCAUGGGACACAGUGUGUGGGAAACUAUCCCGUGGAAAGGACACCUCUGAUCAUCUUGGGGGCAAGAAGGAUUUUUCUUGGGACAAGCAAAGAACUGGGUAACAGAGGGUCUUGGAGUUCUAGCACAAAUUCUUUGUCCAAUCCACCAUGGAACCUCAGCUUCUCCAUCUAAAAAUAGAAGGAAAGUCAUGAAUCUACUAUGAAGUAGUUCUGUGGGGGCCUCAUAAGAGAAGGAGGUGAAGAUGUUUGGAAAACCUAUGAAAGCCAUUUAGGAAUGCAUUCAGCUGCAAGUAACACAACAGCCCACUGGAGCGGUUUGAUGAGAUGGAAUUUUAUUUUCCCUGAUCUAAGAAGUCCAGGACAUGAUAAGGAGCAGGAGGAAGUGACUUAAUAAUACCACUGGGUGUCUGAUCCACUCUUUCUCUCCCAUCCCAUCCUCACCUAUGCUACCUUGUAAACGCAAGGCACUGCUUGUUGCUCAAAUUCCAAGCAAGAGGAAGAAGGAAGAACGAAGGAGAGCAAGUGCUCACAUUGGGAAUGUGAACCCUUUCUUAGACACCCAGCAAUGGCUGUGAUGUUGGCCGGCACUGUAAGCAAAUGCUGAACCUCCAGCUACACAGAGGCUGGGGAAGGAAACUCUUUCAGUUGCCUGCACUAUAACCCCUGACAAAUCUGGGGUUUUGAUGGAAAAGAAGGGAGCGCCACCGGGAGGAUUGAUGGGUCCCAGCCUCCACGCAGAGAUGGGCACUGGAUCCCCGGGGAUCUUUGAAAUCCAGCCUCCGGAUUUGAGUGGAAACAGAUCAUGCAUUGAAGACAAAGCUAGUCCACUGGAUCUUAUGUCAGACUGGGAAGCAGAGGCAGGGUGGGGACAGAGGUUCUGGAGACCUUUCUGUCCCCUCCAUCUGUUCAGGGUCAUCAGCCCCACUGGCUGGGCUGCAAGCUUGAAUCUAGGAGUUCAUUAAUCUCUGCAAUGUUAAGAGUUGGUCUCCACCCGAACAUGUCUAACCACAGACUUCCUCUUGACUCCUGGCAAGGAGGAGAAAACAAAACCACAGCAGUUUUCAUUGCUGAAAAAGACAAAACUGACUCAUUUGUUUAAUAAGCCCAGACGUAGGAGUUUUAUUUCUGGGAGGAAAUGCUAAAGAUUUUAGUCCAAAGAGUCUUGCCUGGAUAGCAAAAUCGCCAGAUUCUGCAGUGCAGCGCCUGGGUUCUGCAAUUUCAAGGCCCUGUGGUCGGUGAACAGAGAUGAGGAGCCCAGGGCUCAGCACUCCGAGGAGCCGAGCAAAACAGCGCUCAUGAGGCUGAGACAGCCACAGGCCUCUCUUGCCACUUCUGGUUUCAAAGCAUCCCACUUGUGCAUUUAUCUUUCCUUGUUCUCAUUUUCUGUUAUUAAUUUUAGCUAUUGAUUAAUUCCCAUUUCGUCCUUUCUUUUUUUGUUUGCCUCUUCGCCCCAUUUCUUAUGAUGUGUAUUCAGUGCCUUUAUUUUUAGUCUUUCUUCUUUAAUAAUAAAGGGAUUUCAGGCCCCACUCCCCCCGCCAGUCAAGCUUUUCUCAGGAACCC